AGAAAAAAAAAGUUAUUUUCACUACGAGGGACGACCCGAAAGGUCGACACGCGCACAUCGCUUUAUCCCCUUUUGAUUUAUAUUAUUUAUCGUAUUAUUUUCAGAUCUCUCCGUGUUUCUCUACAUCCGAAUAUCCUCGUCUUAUAUAUUUUUAAGCCCGUCCCUCAACUCUCGGUCCGCUAUAACCAUUGUUUGUGCGGCCACACAAUAACCGGAUUAUGGCGUGUGCAACGGUUCUUAUAAUACAAUAUCGGCGUGUACGGACGAGACGGAAACCAAAGACCGAACAGACACUUGCGGGGAUUGUUUCGAAACGUCGAAAAUAGUUUUCAAAUAAUAAAUAUACGAGUCGGUGUUAUAUGUAUACGGCCGUGUAUAAUACCGAUGAUGCGCGUCGCUGACAAACGUACGGCCGAACGAAUGUAUAUUCUGUUAAGAAAAGAAAACGGAGAGUGAGGAGAGGAAGGAGGAGAAAUGACAAUGUAAACACAUCACAUCCCUUAGUAAACACCGGUUACACGUGUUGUGUUAAAUAAACGCUAUAAAUCCGUCCUAAAUGCCUACUUGUUGAAGUCAUGUAUGUUUAGGUAGAUACCUAUUAUCGAACGUAUAUAAUAUUAUAACCUAUAAAGAUAAACACGCGUCAGAGUAUAGAGUAAUAAUUAUUGUUCGUUCUGAUAACACUGAGUC